rnacentral:rRNA from 1 species
AGACCCGAAACCCGGUGAUCUAGCCAUGGGCAGGUUGAAGGUUGGGUAACACUAACUGGAGGACCGAACCGACUAAUGUUGAAAAAUUAGCGGAUGACCUGUGGCUGGGGGUGAAAGGCCAAUCAAACCGGGAGAUAGCUGGUUCUCCCCGAAAGCUAUUUAGGUAGCGCCUCGUGAAUUCAUCUCCGGGGGUAGAGCACUGUUUCGGCUAGGGGGCCAUCCCGGCUUACCAACCCGAUGCAAACUGCGAAUACCGGAGAAUGUUAUCACGGGAGACACACGGCGGGUGCUAACGUCCGUCGUGAAGAGGGAAACAACCCAGACCGCCAGCUAAGGUCCCAAAGUCAUGGUUAAGUGGGAAACGAUGUGGGAAGGCCCAGACAGCCAGGAUGUUGGCUUAGAAGCAGCCAUCAUUUAAAGAAAGCGUAAUAGCUCACUGGUCGAGUCGGCCUGCGCGGAAGAUGUAACGGGGCUAAACCAUGCACCGAAGCUGCGGCAGCGAACGUAUCACUUAAAGCGAUUCAGCGGGUUACGAUUGACGGAGCGAAGCGACGUCAAAGCGUAUACAAAGUCGAGUCGGUUUAAGGAUACGUUCGUUGGGUAGGGGAGCGUUCUGUAAGCCUGUGAAGGUGUGUCGUGAGGCAUGCUGGAGGUAUCAGAAGUGCGAAUGCUGACAU